rnacentral:rRNA from 1 species
CGGCGAGUGAAGCGGCAACAGCUCAAAUUUGAAAUCUGGCUCUCGGGCCCGAGUUGUAAUUUGUAGAGGAUGAUUUUGGCGCGGUGCCUUCCGAGUUCCCUGGAACGGGACGCCUUAGAGGGUGAGAGCCCCGUACGGUUGGACACCAAGCCUCUGUAAAUCUCCUUCGACGAGUCGAGUAGUUUGGGAAUGCUGCUCUAAAUGGGAGGUAAAUUUCUUCUAAAGCUAAAUACCGGCCAGAGACCGAUAGCGCACAAGUAGAGUGAUCGAAAGAUGAAAAGCACUUUGAAAAGAGGGUUAAAUAGCACGUGAAAUUGUUGAAAGGGAAGCAUUUACUACCAGACCUCUGCCCUGCGGAUCAUGUGGUGUUCUCACCGCUGCACUUCGCUUGGUUUAGGCCAGCAUCGGUUUUUAUAGGGGGAUAAAAGCCUUAGGAACGUAGCUCCCUCGGGAGUGUUAUAGCCUUUUGCAUAAUACCCUUACGGGGACCGAGGACCGCGCUUCGGCAAGGAUGCUGGCAUAAUGGUAGUCAAUGACCCGUCUUGAAACACGGACCAAGGAGUCGAACAUUUGUGCGAGUGUUUGGGUGUUAAACCCUCACGCGUAAUGAAAGUGAACGUAGGUGAGAGCCCUUACGGGUGCAUCAUCGACCGAUCUUGAUGUCUUCGGAUGGAUUUGAGUAAGAGCAUAACUGUUCGGACCCGAAAGAUGGUGAACUAUGCGUGGAUAGGGUGAAGCCAGAGGAAACUCUGGUGGAGGCUCGCAGCGGUUCUGACGUGCAAAUCGAUCGUCAAAUCUGCGCAUGGGGGCGAAAG